rnacentral:rRNA from 1 species
CAACAGUCUCAGUUCAGAUUGUUAGGCUGAAACUCGCCUGUAUGAAGUCGGAAUUGCUAGUAAUCGCGGAUCAGCAUGCCGCGGUGAAUACGUUCCCGGGCCUUGUACACACCGCCCGUCACACCAUGAGAGUCGAUAACACCCGAAGCCUGUAGUCUAACAGCAAUGAGGACGCAGUCGAAGGUGGGAUUGAUAAUUAGGGUGAAGUCGUAACAAGGUAAC